GGCAAAGGAAAGGUGCUCAGUGUCAAGAAAACAAACACUUCUAUGGGCCAGACAGAAUCAGAAGAUCAAAAGAGAAUGCCCAUGCUGAAGUAAGAGACAUCUCAGCUGAGACAAUAUCAUCCAUCUUUCCAAGAAGUUGGAGAUGUGAAAGACUCUGAAGAUAGCCAUCAUUAAAUUUCUCUACAGCCUGGCAGGAAUGGAGAAAAUUCUCUACUAGAAAUUAAGCUAUCCAAAACAAUCUUUUGAUUGUGAAUAGUUCUUACAGAUUUGAGUUUGAAGACAUAUUUAUACCCAUGACCUACAAGGGUAAUGAUAAAUAGCCUUUGGAGGAAUGUUCAAAUUAAAUCUAGAUCUCUGCUGUGCAGUACCAAAGAAAAUAUUAGAGUAGGAAAGGGAGGGCAGGGAAACAAAACUUGGCCGUUGGCUAGAUUCCUGCAAACCCUAGGCCCUUCUAGAAUGUGGUAAUGCCCCUUCUGUCUGUCUAAUUAGUAAGAUUAUCCUCUUUUUCUCUAGUUGAGGUUUCUUAGCCUAUAAUUCGUUGCCUAGGUACAGAAGUCAUUCCCAAAGGACAUAAAAGCAGCAAAGGCCUUUUGUCACAUGCUAGGCUUAGGCUUCUGUAUGCAAUACGCAAAAACAACAUGAAAUCUUUUUCAUCCCUUCUGUGUCAUUACAGAAAAUGGAACCCUCCUUCCCAACACGGCACGUCAACCACUGUAGUUGUGCCCACACAGAGCCUCUGCAUUAGAAGAGCUUCCAGUAGCUUGAUGCAGCAUAUACAGAAUUGCCAAGCUUCCAGGGCUGCUGGUGUUCAGGAAAUCAAUCCAGCUAAAUAUAAAUUUUGGUGGUGACAGCAUAUAGGACUGGCAUUGGGUAUGCAGGAGCAUUUUCACAGAAGAGCUUUGGGCUUUGGUGGGAAGCACAGAGACGGAUUUCUUGUAACAUUUCAUUUGCCAAUUUUC